rnacentral:tRNA from 1 species
GGCUCGUUGGUCUAGGAGUAUGAUUCUCGCUUCGGGUGCGAGAGGUCCUGGGUUCAAAUCCCGGACGAGCCC